UCCUUGAAUCACUAAUUGAGAAAAUGCCU
rnacentral:misc_RNA from 1 species